GGAGAGUUUGAUCCUGGCUCAGGACGAACGCUGGCGGCGUGCUUAACACAUGCAAGUCGAACGAUGAACCUCCUUCGGGAGGGGAUUAGUGGCGAACGGGUGAGUAACACGUGGGCAAUCUGCCCUGCACUCUGGGACAAGCCCUGGAAACGGGGUCUAAUACCGGAUACGAGUUUCACCGGCAUCGGUGAUUCUGGAAAGCUCCGGCGGUGCAGGAUGAGCCCGCGGCCUAUCAGCUUGUUGGUGAGGUAACGGCUCGCCAAGGCGACGACGGGUAGCCGGCCUGAGAGGGCGACCGGCCACACUGGGACUGAGACACGGCCCAGACUCCUACGGGAGGCAGCAGUGGGGAAUAUUGCACAAUGGGCGCAAGCCUGAUGCAGCGACGCCGCGUGAGGGAUGACGGCCUUCGGGUUGUAAACCUCUUUCAGCAAGGAAGAAGCGAAAGUGACGGUACCUGCAAAAGACGCGCCGGCUAACUACGUGCCAGCAGCCGCGGUAAUA
rnacentral:rRNA from 1 species